GACGAACGCUGGCGGCGUGCUUAACACAUGCAAGUCGAACGGAAAGGCCCUGCUUUUGUGGGGUGCUCGAGUGGCGAACGGGUGAGUAACACGUGAGUAACCUGCCCUUGACUUUGGGAUAACUUCAGGAAACUGGGGCUAAUACCGGAUAGGAGCUCCUGCUGCAUGGUGGGGGUUGGAAAGUUUCGGCGGUUGGGGAUGGACUCGCGGCUUAUCAGCUUGUUGGUGGGGUAGUGGCUUACCAAGGCUUUGACGGGUAGCCGGCCUGAGAGGGUGGCCGGCCACAUUGGGACUGAGAUACGGCCCAGACUCCUACGGGAGGCAGCGGUGGGGAAUAUUGCACAGUGGGCGGAAGCCUGAUGCAGCAACGCCGCGUGCGGGAUGACGGCCUUCGGGUUGUAAACCGCUUUCGCCUGUGACGAAGCGUGAGUGACGGUAAUGGGUAAAGAAGCACCGGCUAACUACGUG
rnacentral:rRNA from 1 species